AGACCCUGAUGAAUCUGAGAGCCCAAAGAGCUCUUUAAAAGAUCGAGAGAUUUCUUUAAGUCAGAACCUACUGUGCAGCAAAGCCUGAGCUCCCUCCCAGGCAGUCCAGAACAGGAACACUCCUGCAAAACUGGAUUUGCUCCAUCAAGACUUUGACCUGAGAGGAUUGACUCCACUUGACAGUCCUUAAAGAGGAGAACAGGAGUAUUCCCAGGGCAGUCUCCAGGCAGCAAACAUCAUUUGUGGACCCGGCACUGAAAUUUAGCUGAGUCAGCAUUUUGGGAACGACUGCAAAAUCUUUCAGGUGAACAAGGAGGAAAACACCCCGAGGAAAACACCCUAAACACCAGUCACAGGAUUUUGUUGUGACCAAGGUGCCCCCGUGCUCAGACAAGGACCUUCCAACAACCCAGAGGCAGGAACGCCCUGCAAGUUAAACAGCAAUUUGUAAAAUAUGGAUUGGAAGAGGAGGAAGGCUCAGGUCAUGUUUCAAACAAGUCUCCUGGGGGAAACUAGACACUCAGCACUGGCUCCUGGGCUGCUGGAGAGGAUGGGAGAGUGGGAAACCAUCACUGCUGGAGGUUCCUGCAGAUGGACCAGAGGAGUUGAAUCGGGACAACUGCAGCUCGCAGGGGUGGGACAGAAGCUCUGAUGGCACAUGUGGGACACAGAGCUCCCCAAAAAUGACUUUUCAGAUGAUCCUGUUGGCUGCUGCCCCCCGAGCAGCCCCUGCUGUGCAGGAGGAAGGAGAACCCUCCCCAUCCCACACGGGGUGAACCAAGAGCCAACUGUGGGUGAUGGUCUACAGGUCUGGAAAAACCUGAAGUCCCAACACAUGAGGUCAUAAAAGAGUUGUCUGAAGCUCAAAAUCCCAAAAUAGUAUCACAGAAUCCCAGACUGGUUUGGGUUGGGAGGGACCUUAAAGCCC
rnacentral:lncRNA from 1 species